rnacentral:misc_RNA from 1 species
UUUCCGUAGGUGAACCUGCGGAAGGAUCAUUCAUAAUAAAGUGUUUUAUGGCACUUUUUAAAAAUCCAUAUCCACCUUGUGUGCAAUGUUAGAUCUCGUCAAUCUUGGCGAGAUUUUCAUACAUCAACUCAUUCUUUAACUAAUUUGUCUGAAAAAUAUUAUGAAUACUUAAUUCAGAAUACAACUUUCAACAACGGAUCUCUUGGCUCUC